rnacentral:rRNA from 1 species
GACGAACGCUGGCGGCGUGCUUAACACAUGCAAGUCGAGCGGUAAGGCCCUUUCGGGGGUACGACGAGCGGCGAACGGGUGAGUAACACGUGGGUGACCUGCCCUCAGCUCUGGGAUAAGCCUGGGAAACCGGGUCUAAUACUGGAUAUGACUCCAUGACGCAUGUUGUGGGGUGGAAAGCCUUGUGCGGCUGAGGAUGGGCCCGCGGCCUAUCAGCUUGUUGGUGGGGUGANGGCCUACCAAGGCGACGACGGGUAGCCGGCCUGAGAGGGCGACCGGCCACACUGGGACUGAGACACGGCCCAGACUCCUACGGGAGGCAGCAGUGGGGAAUCUUGCGCAAUGGGUGAAAGCCUGACGCAGCGACGCCGCGUGAGGGAUGACGGCCUGGUU